UACUACUACUACUACUACUACUACAGGUCAUAGGGGCGGGGAGGGCGUGGCAGGUCGUUAAGCAGGGCAUUAAGCAGGUGGGUCGUGAAAGCAGGGUGCAGGUAGGUAGGGUUUAUUAGCACAAGGCAGGCAGGUAGAUGGCCGGGCAGGUAGACUUGGGUAGGGAAGCAAUAGGUAGGCAAGCAGGUUGACAGGUAGAAAAGGAAAGGUACUUGUGCAAUUAUGGACCGUGUUAAAGUAAUAGUAACAAUAGUAGUAGUAGUAGUAGUAGUAGUAGUAGUAGUAAGUGGAAAGAGUCGAACGUUUCAUGGUUAAGUAAACAGCAAAGAAAUUAAAAGAGUGCAUGCAUUCAUUCAUAAAAUCUAACCUCUUUCAUCGCAAGACCUAAACUAAUCUUAAAGAAAAAAAAAAGUGAGUAGAUCGCAAGGAUGCCAGAAAAGUCAGGAUUCGAGACUAACUUAUUAAAGUAAUUAAAGAAAGUAGAAGAGUCUGCAUUGAUAGACAUAUUCAGUCAUAGCUCGUCAGGUAACAAACAACACGAAGCUAAGUCAACAGCAAUAUUCAGAAGUCGAGAAACAUACCGGCACUUCUUUCCCUCGUGUUAAGAUUUCCCUCAGUCUUAAGUACGUCAGGUAACAGGAGAGAUUUAAAGUAUAAGAGUACCAAUAGAUAAGACAAAGAUCCAAUCACAUUCAUAAAUCGACAAACAUAACCCCAUAUCCUUCCUCUGUGUUCCCUUUUCCCUCAAUCUAAGUCCACAGGUUAACUAAGAAUCUGUCAAUCAGGUUUCGAAGGGAGACUAUAAGCAAAUCAAAAAACUUCAGACUCAGGAGAAAAAAACAAAAACAAAAAAAAACACAGUGUGACUAAGUACAACAAAUUACUCGUCCCCAGAUCACGACUAUACAAGUUUACAUCCACAAGAACACAAGGGAAGCUGCAGGGAGCCAUCAAGCCUACACGUGGGAGUCCCUGUACCAAGACUAACAGUUCCGUAGCGAGCAACUUUACAGCCACUUGAGCAGAGGUUGGUGACCGCCGCUGCUGUUACAAUGGCAAGGGCUGGGACGCGGCGAGGCAAGGCAAGGCGACGCAGGAUGGCAAGAGAUGGUGGAUCGAGGCGCUGCGGGCCCCAGAUGACGCAGCAGUGCUCGGCGGCCAGGCAGGCGUGCAGGGGAGACGAUCUGAGCAGUUCAUUCCUUUGACACUCGGCGGCUGCUGGCAGAUGGUAGCGUCUCUCUAAUUAAGUGUCAGUCCUCGCUGGUGUCUGCUGUCAGCGCCGCCCACUCCUGCAAUCAGGGCGUAACUCAUCCUGCCUGCCCGCCCGCCCUCCCUCCCGCUGCCGCCCGACUCAUUGCUUCCUGCUGGCCGCGUUUCGUCUGUAGGGCAAUGGCUGGA